rnacentral:rRNA from 1 species
UACGUAGGAGGCAAGCGUUGUCCGGACUGACUGGGCGUAAAGCGCGCGCCAGGCGGUGCGGGGCGUCGGUGCUGAAAUCGGGCCGCUUAACGGCCCGCGGCGUGCCGAUACGCCCGUACUGGAGGGUGGGCGAGGGUGGUGGAAUUGCCGGUUGUAGUGGUGAAAUGCGUAGAGAUCGGCAGGAACACCCGUGGCGAAAGCGGCCACCUAGCCCAUACCUGACGCUGAUGCGCGACAGCGUGGGGAGCGAACUGG